GCUUAUCCUGCUCCAUACAGCCUCUCCUCAUUUCCACAGGCAUGCUGCAUUCCAAUAAGGUGCAAUGGGGAUAGAGAGAGGAGACGCGAUGCUGUAAACUAGGUGAUGGAACGGACCCCGAGCAGGAGUCCGAGGCCCCGGGUCUUCGGCAAGGAGAGGAGACGAGGACAGACUCAUGUGGAGCAUUUGGUCGACCACCGAGGGUGGUCCCAUUCGAGAGUCAGCGGAGUUUGGAGGACAUCGACUGGAGGAAAGGGAGACCCGUUUCGGGUGGAUGGGGUUCCGUUGAAGUCCCUGAUUUACAGCUGCAGUCAAACUUCGGUUCUUUACGACAUUGGUUCUCACUCUCAGGGCUCACCGACUGGCCGUUUUUCAAUAUCCCAAGGACAUGGCCUAGAAGAUGAGCGUAGCUUUGAGGUUCCAAGGCUUUGCAGUCCUGCAGAUGAGCCGACUCUUGGCUGGUGCUACUGGCUGAAGUGUUGCAGGAGAAAACAGAGUAUCAGCAACAGUGGAAUAGCUGUUGGAGGUCCCUGCAAUCAGAGUGCUCUCUUUCUCUCAUUGGUGGGGAAGUUUGUUGGUGAUUCUCGAGUCGGAGAACUCAGAUAAAAGUGAUGCAGGAGACUUUAACACCAUAACUCGCGCGUUGGGAAGAGGCAUUGAGCUGAUGUCCAGGUGUCCAGACUUGUCCUGAAUGGUGUGAAGAUUUUAAGUUUGUGGAAGUUGAACUCACUCAGUCAAGCAGAGAACAUUCUGUCGCAUUCUGAUUUGUACCUUGCAGACUCAAUGUUUGGAAGAUUUAAGCGCCGGGCCAGAUUGGAAAGGUCAGGGUGUUGGGACCAGAGGCAAGGGACGGGUUGGUUCUGCCUGAUUCUGCGAGGCUCAGCUUGUUACUCUGUGACGUUUACUCAGCUCUGCACUGAACUGAGGCUGCACACUGCUUCAGCCGCAGUGAUGCCUGGCUUCAUGGCUUUCAUAAAAUUUCAAUUCUAAAUGCUAUUUGCUUAAUUUAGUUGCUUGCAUGAUUUUUUUCUCUCUGUGCACUGGCUGUUUGAC